UACGCCCGAUCUCGUCCGAUCUCGGAAGCUAAGCAGGGCCGGGCCUGGUUAGUACUUGGAUGGGAGACCGCCUGGGAAUACCAGGUGCUGUAAGCUUCCAUACCAGCCUG
rnacentral:rRNA from 1 species